GAUGAACGCUAGCGGCAGGCUUAAUACAUGCAAGUCGUGGGGCAGCGCAGGUAGCAAUACUGGGCGGCGACCGGCAAACGGGUGCGGAACACGUACACAACCUUCCGAGAAGUGGGGAAUAGCCCAGAGAAAUUCGGAUUAAUACCCCGUAACAUAACGAUGUGGCAUCACAUUGUUAUUAUAGCUUCGGCGCUUCUUGAUGGGUGUGCGGCUGAUUAGAUAGUUGGCGGGGUAACGGCCCACCAAGUCUACGAUCAGUAGCUGAUGUGAGAGCAUGAUCAGCCACACGGGCGCUGAGACACGGGCCCGACUCCUACGGGAGGCAGCAGUAAGGAAUAUUGGUCAAUGGACGCAAGUCUGAACCAGCCAUGCCGCGUGAAGGAUUAAGGUCCUCUGGAUUGUAAACUUCUUUUAUCUGGGACGAAAAAAGGCGAUUCUUCGUCACUUGACGGUACCAGAUGAAUAAGCACCGGCUAACUCCGUGCCAGCAGCAGCCGCUGUAA
rnacentral:rRNA from 1 species